GAUUAACGCUAGCGGCAGGCCUAAUACAUGCAAGUCGAACGGCAGCACGGGUAGCAAUACCUGGUGGCGAGUGGCGCACGGGUGCGUAACGCGUAUGCAACCUACCUAUAACUGGGGAAUAGCCUUCUGAAAGGAAGAUUAACACCGCAUAAUAUCACGAGCCGGCAUCGCCUUGUGAUCAAAUCUCCGGAGGUUAUAGAUGGGCAUGCGUGACAUUAGCUAGUUGGCGAGGUAACGGCCCACCAAGGCUACGAUGUCUAGGGGGUCUGAGAGGAUGAUCCCCCACACUGGUACUGAGACACGGACCAGACUCCUACGGGAGGCAGCAGUAAGGAAUAUUGGACAAUGGGCGCAAGCCUGAUCCAGCCAUGCCGCGUGAAGGAUGACGGCCCUCUGGGUUGUAAACUUCUUUUAUACGGGAAUAAACCCCUCGAUUCUUCGAGGGCUGAAUGUACUGUAAGAAUAAGGAUCGGCUAACUUCGUGCCAGCAGCCGCAGUAA
rnacentral:rRNA from 1 species